UAAUUUCUGCCCCUUCUACGAGAUCAUAUUUAUUUUUAAAAUCUUCUACGAUAUUAUUAAACGUACUGCUAUCAGAAUUUAGACACAACGUUGUUAAUAAAUCACUUUGAAUUUCCGGAAUAAAAACAUGUACUAAAAACGUAAAAAACAACACUUUUAAAGCAUUUAAUUUCAUCGUACGCAGGUGAUGUCGGAUCAGAAAAAAUGUAUAUCUACCCCGAAUAUAAUUGAUGUUACUCUAAUUUACCAUAAGUGUUCCUGUUUCAGUUGGUUUGUUACUAGUGGUAUCGAACAACACUUUUUGAAUACUCUAAUACUUAUAAUAUUAAUUUAAGAGCGGUAAUGAUUUUUACUGUUCAAAUAAUUUGGUACUUAUUCUGAAAGAUAUUUUUUCAACUUGUAAAUACUUGUUAUAGGUGCAGUUAGUAUGUUACUGGUAUAAUAAUGCUUGUAAUUUUAACUAACUUAAAAUGAUUUAUG